AAAUACAACUAAAUCAAUUUAGCAAUACCGCACGAAUUUGAUCUACCUAACAUCAUUUACUACGAUCGAUCAACCCUAAAACAGGGCGUGAUAGUUCCAACUCCAACGAACUAGCAAAAGCCUGACCUUCAGUAAGCAAGUGAUGCAUGAGUCAACGGCCAGCAGUUAGCAACAGAUUCAGCCUCUGUAUGUUUUACUCUUCAAGAAGUGACGAGCAGUUACUAAUCGCUGUGACUAAACUGAAACACCAGCGAAAAGAGGACUGUUGUUUGAAAGCCUAACACCGAAGAAACGCCAUAAGGCUUUCCCUGGAUUCCGAUAGAGGUGGCGUUUCGUCAUACGCAGAAGAAAAUCAUUGAAUGCAGCCAACCCAGUGAUGAAUGAAAUGUUCCUGAAAACAGUUCCCGGUAAAAGUUGCGUAAGAUCCGUUUCGGUUGUACACUGCGUGCAGAAUUAUUGGCACACCACAAAAAUAAUGA